UCCCUGGUAGUAUAUCGGUUAGUACACGCGCCUGUCAUGUUAAGGCUGGCAAAUUGCUCCUUUACGCGCGAAAGCGGGGUUCGACUCCCCGCCAGGGAG